AAUUUUAAAAGUUGAAAAGGACGGACAGAGGAAACCAAAGGGGCAUCUAGAUAACUUCGAUGUCGAUGUUCAUGUUCAGAGGUGACUUUGACAUCUUAAAUUAGGUUUCCUUUCUUAGAUCUAUCAUUCAAUGGGUUAGAGUUCAAAUUUUUUUGAGGUUUCUUCAUAAAAUAGGAAUUACGUAAGCUUCCUGUACAGUUAGUGUAACCAAUUGUUGAUGCAUCGAGCCUUUCUUCUUCAGUAGCCAAAAGAGACCGAGAACAAGAUAAACUUCACAAUAGGAGGCGAAGUUCACGAUCAGACUUCUAUAUCUUGGGGCCCAGAUGGAUCCACAUUAACUCCAAUCCAACUUUCAGUGGAUCCAUAAUCAGCACUCACUAGAGAGGGAGAUAUGGUGUUAUUGGAAGCUCCACCUUAUCAAUAAGGUGAAGGUAUGGACAACUCUUCAACUGAGCUACGUAAACGCUCCAUUAUAGAAAGAAGGUGUGGACAACUCUCCAACUGAGCUACACUCCCCAUUAUAGAAAGAAGGUAUGGAUAACUCUCCAACUGAGCUACACACCCCACUAUAGAAAGCGCGAUUUCAAAGGAAAGGUGGACAAAUU